rnacentral:rRNA from 1 species
CCUACGUGAGGCAGCAGUGAGGAAUAUUGGUCAAUGGGCGCGAGCCUGAACCAGCCAAGUAGCGUGAAGGAUGACUGCCCUACGGGUUGUAAACUUCUUUUAUAAAGGAAUAAAGUGAGGCACGUGUGCCUUUUUGUAUGUACUUUAUGAAUAAGGAUCGGCUAACUCCGUGCCAGCAGCCGCGGUAAUACGGAGGAUCCGAGCGUUAUCCGGAUUUAUUGGGUUUAAAGGGAGCGUAGAUGGGUUGUUAAGUCAGGUGUGAAAGUUUGCGGCUCAACCGUAAAAUUGCAAUUGAUACUGGCAGUCUUGAGUACAGGUGAGGUAGGCGGAAUGCGUGGUGUAGCGGUGAAAUGCUUAGAUAUCACGAUGAACUCCGAUUGCGAAGGCAGCUUACUAAACUGCCACUGACAUUGAUGCUCGAAAGUGUGGGUAUCAAACAGGAUUAGAUACCCUUGUAGUC